AUUGAGCGCUGGCGGAAUGCUUUACACAUGCAAGUCGAACGGCAGCACGGACUUCGGUCUGGUGGCGAGUGGCGAGCGGGUGAGUAACAUAUCGGAACGUAUCCAAUAAUGGGGGAUAACUAAUCGAAAGGUUGGCUAAUACCGCAUACGCCCUACGGGGGAAAGCAGGGGAUCUUCGGACCUUGCGUUAAUGGAGCGGUUGAUAUCUGAUUAGCUAGUUGGUGAGGUAAAGGCUCACCAAGGCGACGAUCAGUAGCUGGUCUGAGAGGACGACCAGCCACACUGGAACUGGGACACGGUCCAGACUCCUACGGGAGGCAGCAGUGGGGAAUUUUGGACAAUGGGCGCAAGCCUGAUCCAGCCAUUCCGCGUGAGUGAAGAAGGCCUUCGGGUUGUAAAGCUCUUUCGCAGGGGAAGGAAGCUUACUUUCUAAUAAAGAGUGAGGUUGACGGUACCUUGAUAAGAAGCACCGGCUAACUACGUGCCAGCAGCCGCGGUAA
rnacentral:rRNA from 1 species